UACGGGAGGCAGCAGUGGGGAAUAUUGCACAAUGGGCGAAAGCCUGAUGCAGCUAUGCCGCGUGUAUGAAGAAGGCCUUAGGGUUGUAAAGUACUUUCAUCGGGGAGGAAAACAAAACUAAUAAUUUUAUUUCUUGACGUUACCCGAAAAAGAAGCACCGGCUAACUCCGUGCCAGCAGCCGCGGUAAUACGGAGGGUGCUAGCGUUAAUCAGAAUUACUGGGCGUAAAGAGCACGUAGGUGGUUUUUUUAAGUCAGAUGUGAAAUCCCUGGGCUUAACCUAGGAACUGCAUUUUGAAAACUGAAAAUACUAGAGUAUCGUAGAGGGAGGUAGAAUUCUAGGUGUAGCGGUGAAAUGCGUAGAUAUCUGGAGGAAUACCUGUGGCGAAAAGCGGCCUCCUAAACGAAUACUGACACUGAGGUGCGAAAAGCGUGGGGAGCAAAACAGGGAUUAGAUACC
rnacentral:rRNA from 1 species